rnacentral:rRNA from 1 species
CUUAGCGCGGUGGUCCCACCUGACCCCAUGCCGAACUCAGAAGUGAAACGCCGUAGCGCCGAUGGUAGUGUGGGGUCUCCCCAUGCGAGAGUAGGGAACUGCCAGGU